GAUGAACGCUAGCUACAGGCUUAACACAUGCCAGUCGAGGGGAAACGAUGAGAGAGCUUGCUCUCUUAGUCGUCGACCGGCGCACGGGUGAGUAACGCGUAUCCAACCUGCCUCUGACCAAGGGAUAACCCGUCGAAAGUCGGACUAAUACCUUAUGCAGUCGUCGGAAGUCAUCUGAUGACGACGAAAGAUUUCAUCGGUGAGAGAUGGGGAUGCGUCUGAUUAGCUUGUUGGCGGGGUAACGGCCCACCAAGGCGACGAUCAGUAGGGGUUCUGAGAGGAAGGUCCCCCACAUUGGAACUGAGACACGGUCCAAACUCCUACGGGAGGCAGCAGUGAGGAAUAUUGGUCAAUGGGCGUAAGCCUGAACCAGCCAAGUAGCGUGCAGGAUGACGGCCCUAUGGGUUGUAAACUGCUUUUAUGCGGGGAGAAAGUGAGGGACGUGUCCUUCAUUGCAGGUACCGCAUGAAUAAGGACCGGCUAAUUCCGUG
rnacentral:rRNA from 1 species